UACGUAGGUGGCAAGCGUUAUCCGGAAUUAUUGGGCGUAAAGCGCGCGUAGGCGGUUUUUUAAGUCUGAUGUGAAAGCCCACGACUCAACCGUGGAGGGUCAUUGGAAACUGGAAAACUUGAGUGCAGAAGAGGAAAGUGGAAUUCCAUGUGUAGCGGUGAAAUGCGCAGAGAUAUGGAGGAACACCAGUGGCGAAGGCGACUUGCUGGUCUGUAACUGACGAUGAUGUGCGAAAGCGUGGGGAUCAAACAGG
rnacentral:rRNA from 1 species